CAAAGGGAACCUGCUGUGGUACCGGCACCUCGAGGAGAUUCAGGUGACCUUUGGUGUCUCUCCCCAGCGAGGGGCGGGGUCAAGCACGCCUUAUAUGGAAGUGCAUGAGGCCUUGGAGCAGCUGAGGGCGGAGCUUAAAGUGAUGGGCGGGGCCGUGGGCGAGGCCGGGGCAGUGGUGCUGGAGCUGGGUGAGUU